GGAUCGCAAGACCUUGCGCUCUUGGAGCGGCCGAUGUCUGAUUAGCUAGUUGGUGAGGUAAAGGCUUACCAAGGCGACGAUCAGUAGCUGGUCUGAGAGGACGACCAGCCACACUGGGACUGAGACACGGCCCAGACUCCUACGGGAGGCAGCAGUGGGGAAUUUUGGACAAUGGGGGAAACCCUGAUCCAGCCAUGCCGCGUGAGUGAAGAAGGCCUUCGGGUUGUAAGGCUCUUUCAGCCGGAACGAAACGGUCACGGUUAAUACCCGUGACUACUGACGGCACCGGAAGAAGAAGCACCGGCUAACUACGUGCCAGCAGCCGCGGUAAUACGUAGGGUGCGAGCGUUAAUCGGAAUUACUGGGCGUAAAGCGUGCGCAGGCGGUUUUGUAAGUCAGAUGUGAAAUCCCCGGGUUUAACCUGGGAACUGCGUUUGAAA
rnacentral:rRNA from 1 species